UUCAUUUCGUGUCUAUUUCGUGUCUUUGGCUUGAAACCAAGAACGUUGAAACAGAAACCAUUUCGUCCAAAUCCUUAGCCAAAAUUUUGAUUGAAAUUUCAAAGAAGCAACCACAAUUUCGUUUCAAAAUUUCAAGGGAUUCAAGAAGAAUUUCGUUCAACAUAUUUUACAGAAGCAGAAGCUUCAUUCCGUUCAAAUAAUUCCAGGAACAGGUAUGUUUAGGCCAUCCCUUCUUUCUUUUGGCAUGGUCCAAAUUAUACUAAAGAAAUGAGCAAACGCACAGUUUCAUAUAUUACUCUAUUCAUAGAGAUACUAGAGGUGUCUAUAUUCUUGAUUCCCCAAGAGAAUUAUUAUUAUCUUCUGUUCAUGAAUCUCAGAAUAAUACGCAGUUGAAAAGUUUAUCCGAGAGGAAUAUUGAAAUUUUUACGUAUUUUUCAUGCAUUUCACCUAUUUAUACAUGUGCAUUGACCCAUGACCAAAUGGCGUUAUAUACGCAUAUAUAUGUAAAUAUAUGUAUAUGGGAUAUGGGAUAUGGAAAAAAAGUUACGACGUUAUAUACGCACCACCACCUGAUCAGCUGGUAUAUGUUGAUGAUGUUGCCCACAGUGGCCGAGAUAAUAUAAUAUACACCCACACCUAUGCAUGGCACAACAUUUAUACGCACGUGCAUGACAUUAUAAACGUUUCAGAAUUUACAAAGUUAUUCAGAUUUAAAGAUGUAUUUCUUUAUUCCAUGUUUCAUCUAUGUCUUUUACGUACUAAUUUCCAUGCCUUACAUAUUCAGUACAUUUUUCGUACUGACGCCCUAUUUCACGGGGCAUGUGUUUCAUGUCCGCAGGUGCAGGUAGGCAAGCUGACGGUCCCCCUUCUUAGGAUCCCUGAUCAGCGAGAGUUGGUGUGCUCCACUUGAUCCGGAGCUGCUUUGAUUUUGGUACGAUACGUUCGUGUAUAUAUAUAUAUGUAUGUAUGUAUAUGGGUAUGACGAGGCUCAGUCCCGUCUUUGUACAGUUAUGUUUCUAUUAGAGGUCUGUAGAUAGUAUGUCUAGUUGGGUUGUAUGUGGGCUUGUCGGCUUUCAGUUUUGGAUGUAUAGUUGUCUAUAGCAGCCUUGCCGACUCGCCCAGUGUGUUCUGCAUGUAUACAUACAUAUGCCUU
rnacentral:lncRNA from 1 species